GUUUUUAAAAGACCUAACUAUGGAAUUUUCACAAAUAUUCAAAAGUAUGGAGAAUGGUACAAUGAAUCCCCAUGUGCCCUUUUCCCAGCUUCAGUGGUGGUGUCAGUGAUAUGAUUGGCUCUGUGUCCCCACCUAAAUCUCAUCUUGAAUUGUAAUCCCCACAUGUCAGGGGGAGGGCCCUGUGGGAAGUGAUUGGAUCAUGGAGGCCGUUUCCCCCAUGCUGUACUGGUGGAGUGAGUUCUCCAUGAGAUCUGAUGGUUUUAUAAAGGGUUUCUCCCCUUUGCUC